AGCCUUCUUGCAGAAGAGUGCAAUACAAACAGCAUGCAACCAGUUGUAGAAACAAGAAGAUGAUUGAGGAGCAGAGCAGAUAUUGAGAACCGUAGUGAAGCACUAAGAUGCCAUAUUAGCCGAAAAUCACACCUCAAAAGAACAUGAAAGAAAAAAAAAACAGCCAACAGAUAAAUCUUUAGGAUCGUCCAAUGAAAAAGAAAUAUUGAUAAAUAGACAGAAAGGUUAUAUAUAAGAACUCUAGGUAGUAGAUAUAAUUUUGAAAGCAAGAAAGAAACCUCCGAGUUUCAGCGAGGGGGCGGAAGAGAGCCAACAACAAAAUGGUGCCAGACAGAACCCCAUUUCAUGGCUUAAAACACUUCGUAGACACCCAUCCAAAUCCAGGUUUCAAAGAGAACCAAUUGUCAGACGAACUUAACUACAUG
rnacentral:lncRNA from 1 species